CGGACCGGUCCUCAGGGCUGUGGAGCACGGUGCGCGCUUGGUAAGAAGAUUAACACCAAGCACUGGGAUGGGCCACGAGCUUCGGGAACUGAACCCGCGGCCUCCUUAGCGCGGCCACGAAUUUCCCUGCUCGGCCUCAACCGCGCCCAGCUCAGCCGCGCAGCCGCUGCUUCUCUCAGAUCAGGGAAAUCACCUGGACAGUCUGCACCGAGCACCUGAGCGCGCAGCGUCCGGGAAAGCCGCAGUUUAACCUUCGCGUCUUCGUUGUCUGGGGGCGCAGAGGCCCAAGGCCUCCUGCCUCCCGCAGGGCCACACACAGCACCCCGUUUCCAGCACAUGCGCCAGACUCCGAGAGGACGCCUGUCCCCGUGGACGCUGCCUCUUCUUGUUCUCUGAGGCCUGGAUGCAGAUCAGAAUUCUACCCAUGGCCAUGAAGACGCACUGAGAGGAGGGGAGGAGAGAGAGGUGGCUCCCAGGGCAGGCGAAAGAGAAGAAAAGAAGAAGAAGAAGAAGAAGAGAGAAG
rnacentral:lncRNA from 1 species